UCAUUGAGUGAUAACACAAUGCACUGUGACUCUGUGCAAUUACCGCUGUAAUUUUUCGAUAAUUGCACACUGCAAACGGACAGAUUAUCAUACGAAGAAAAUAUUCGAUAACAUUUCCAGAAAAUAUAUCGAUUGAAUCAGUUCAACCUGUUUUUGUUCCACAUUUUUAUAAAUCAUUUGCUAUUUUUGUCUAUAGUAACGGCAACAUUGCUUGUCGGUCGUGUCAAGAAAAAAAAAUUGGUUAGUGUUGUACACACCUGACAGAUUUUGUUUUGAUUUUAAUUUAGUCAACAUUUAAGAGAAAUCAACAAUUUAUUCAAAAUGAAACGUGUUAGUGCUUUUAGUGAUGAAAUGGACACUUCGAACAGCCCAAAUUCAAGRAAAACAUCUGUUAAUUAUUGUAAUCCACAAUUUCAAACAAAUUGUGGAAAAUAAGGAAACGAAUGCUACCAAGUGGGGAGACAAAGAAGUGGCGUGGAGCAAAAUUUCAGCUGCAUUCAAUUCGCAAACCACUGGGCAUGGGCAUAAGCAUAAGUCGAAAGAGCAGUUAAAAAAAUAUUAUGAAAAUAUAAAAAAGGCGGUAAGGAAAGAAGGAGCAAAUGAAGACUGGGGGAGGGCCAUAUUUAAAUGCGCUGAGUAACUCUUUAUAGGAGCUUACUCUAGAUCCAAUCAGCAAGAAAACCCUCUAUGGACUUCCAUAUAAGUUUGGCGGGCGGUCUGUAAACACUGCACAAAGUAUGKCGUAAAUAUGAACACAAUAUGGAGAUUUUAUCAAGUGGCAUCCGGCAUUCACUUACAUACCCCGAAAAAGUUUAAGCCUGAGCAGAGAGUAGAAUGUACUGAUUUUAUGAUGGAUUUGGAAUCAAACUCAGAAUUAGCAGUACAAAUUCCAGAUAGACGAUGCAUUACUUCUGGGACCCACAGCAUGGAAACAUCAAAAAACUUUUAUUCGGGAACUUGUUUUAGAUCUAGUAGAGAGAGAUCAUAAGCCCAUGGACUAUUCCCUGGUAAAUCCAGAUCAUGUAGGCAAACAUACAUAUGACGAAAUGGUGGAACUGGAUGCAUGUUCUUUAAAUAUGAGGUUUCUUCAGGAAAAUAUCCGAAAACCCUAUGAAGAGGCCCAGAGAGACAAGAAAUUGCAUUCAGCAGCUUGCAACUUUGUGAAAAAGUCAGGACAAACAUAUCAUCUCUAUCAAAGACCUUCGGCUCAACAAUAUUUUAGUAUGUUAUCUCCGCAGGAUUGGAAUGGAAAUCCGCCACAUGCAUACCUGGGUAGUUGGUGUUUGGAAGCAAAUAAAACUUGGACUUCAGCUGAGGAAAUGAAUUUGAGAUUCGGAGGAGCAGCGUUUCUAAAAAACUUGUAUUCAUAGUACAACUCAUGUAAUAUACCGUGUAGUAUUGGACUAUUUUAAAAUAUAAAUUUGUAAUGUUUAUAAAAAUGUUGAUUCGACGUGUACAUUUUGGCGAGUUUGCUUUGCAUCUUGCAAAUUAAUAAUAUGCCUGUAAAUAUAUCUGUAAAAAAAUUAAGCUUAGUUAAAUUACCCAAUAAAAUACUGACAUCUAUAACAA